UAUUUAGAUUGGGGAACUACUUCUUCCUGUGUAGUUUGUAUCCAUAGGGUUCACCGUAGUUAGGUUGGGCGGAGUGAUACGCCGCACACGAGGCUAGUUUCAAGUUUGUUACCGGCGACAAGGGUGCCACUUGUCUGUUUUCUUGAGCGGAGAAUAAAACAUAUACAAGUUGCUCUGAAGAAGCUGUCCCCGUGCUGUUCUUACCCACGACCCCAAAAAUAGACUUUAUUAAGAAAAUGCUGCUGCGUGUCUCGUUUGGCGGAGUGCAGAAGUACAUGAAGCUGCCUGAACUAACAUUCGGUGAUUUCUUGAGAGAAGUGAGUCUAAAAUUUAACAUUGCUGAAGACAGACGGUUGGACAUGAAGGUUUAUGACCAGUCUAACACAGAGGUCGACUCUGAGGUUUUUGAGGAGAUCGUACAAGAGUUCCAUGGACCUUUCCUAAUUUCAUUGGCCAAUGAAGCACCUGGUAAUUGCUGCCUACCUGCAUAAGACUACACACACAUCGUUGAAGUGGAAGUGUUGAACUAUGUAAUUGUGUUCUUAU